rnacentral:rRNA from 1 species
UACAGAGGUCUCAAGCGUUGUUCGGAUUCAUUGGGCGUAAAGGGUGCGUAGGCGGCGCGGUAAUUCGGGUGUGAAAUCUCGGGGCUUAACUCCGAAACUGCAUUCGAUACUGCCGUGCUUGAGGACUGGAGAGGAGACUGGAAUUUACGGUGUAGCGGUGAAAUGCGUAGAUAUCGUAAGGAAGACCAGUGGCGAAGGCGGGUCUCUGGACAGUUCCUGACGCUGAGGCACGAAGGUCAGGGGAGCAAACGGG